GAUGAACGCUGGCGGCGUGCCUAAUACAUGCAAGUCGAGCGAAUGGAUUAAGAGCUUGCUCUUAUGAAGUUAGCGGCGGACGGGUGAGUAACACGUGGGUAACCUGCCCAUAAGACCGGGAUAACUCCGGGAAACCGGGGCUAAUACCGGAUAACAUUUUGAACCGCAUGGUUCGAAAUUGAAAGGCGGCUUCGGCUGUCACUUAUGGAUGGACCCGCGUCGCAUUAGCUAGUUGGUGAGGUAACGGCUCACCAAGGCAACGAUGCGUAGCCGACCUGGGAGGGUGAUCGGCCACACGGGGACUGAAACACGGCCCAGACUCCUACGGGAGGCAGCAGUAGGGAAUCUUCCGCAAUGGACGAAAGUCUGACGGAGCAACGCCGCGUGAGUGAUGAAGGCUUUCGGGUCGUAAAACUCUGCUGUUAGGGAAGAACAAGUGCUAGUUGAAUAAGCUGGCACCUUGACGGUACCUAACCAGAAAGCCACGGCUAACUACGUGCCAGCCGCCGCCGUAA
rnacentral:rRNA from 1 species